AGUUUUGCGCAGUGGCAGUAUCCUAGCCAGUGAGGUUUACCCGAGGCGCGAUGAUUGCUAAUUGAAAAGCAUGGGUGAGUCACAGCAGGACCUCUGAGAGGCUGUAUGUGGGAAUGUUGUAAGGAUUUGGAUUUCGGAAUC
rfam:Heterocephalus glaber contig11017, whole genome shotgun sequence.